rnacentral:rRNA from 1 species
GUGACUCUUUAAACGGCCGCGGUAUCCUAACCGUGCAAAGGUAGCAUAAUCACUUGUCCCCUAAAUAGGGACUAGAAUGAACGGCUAAAUGAGGACAAAACUGUCUCUUACGGACCAACCAAUGAAAUUGAUCUUCCAGUACAAAAGCUGGAAUAAGCCCAUAAGACGAGAAGACCCUGUGGAGCUUUAAAACCAAAACCACCAAACAUGUUUCUUGGUUUUUUAGUUGGGGCGACUUUGGAGAAAAAAUAAUCCUCCAAACUAUAAACCCAUUUAUUAAGAAUAACACACCAAAAAUAAUUAAAUAGACCCAGCAACAUUAUGUUGUCUGACCAAUGAACCAAGUUACCCCAGGGAUAACAGCGCCAUCCUCUUCUAGAGUCCCUAUCGACAAGGGGGUUUACGACCUCGAUGUUGGAUCAGGACACCCCUAUAGUGCAGCCGCUUUAAAAGGUUCGUUUGUUCAACGAUUAAAGUCCUACGUGAUCU